GCGCAUGGUGACAGCAAGCUCAUGUGUAUAAGUACGGUGGUCAUCACGUAUCUCGACGUGCAACAAGCCAAAGAUGACGCGUAGAACGCCGAGACAUUCAUAAUAUCAUAUAUAAUACAUCAUCUCAGAUAUGCAUGCACCCAACAUCCGUUUAUCCGCUAUCUGUACAUCUGGUGUCCGUUUACCUGGUAUCCUGUAUCCGUUGAUCUGGUAUCCGUCUAUCCAAUACCCGUGUUAUUUGCCAUGACUUUCUUAAUUAAGGCGGAUUUCCAUUCAAUGCAAGAUGUCGCGCGAUCGACAUUUUGCGAUCACUUUCUUUCGAAAUACAAGCAAUCAAACGCAACGGAUGAGGUUGACUGAACACAUUUCAAAAGAAAGUGAUCGCAAAAAGUUGAUCUCGCGAUAUUUUGCACUGAAUGGAAAUCGGCCUUUAGCCUGAGUUUCAGGCUCUAUGCUUGAACGCAGGCCAUGCCCUAUACGUCUAAAAUAUGGAUUUCCAAACUAUUCACGCUAUAUACAUGUCCAAAUCGUUGAAAAUUUCUAAACUAUAUCAUGAACUCCUAGUAAAUUGUACUGUGCACGUCUAAAUUAUCUUAUGGAAAUACCUAAUUUGGAUUCGGAUAUGUAGAAUAAAAAUUGAGCGCAAGGAUAACAUAUUUUGAAAGUGAAUUUUGACAUGAAUAUAAACGCUUCAUAACAACGAAGUUAUUACGACACAAGUUUGUUGUACGAUCCCAUGACGAUAAGAUAAUAUUUUUUUGUAGAAAAAUUUGCUUAUUAUUCCUAAGCUUUCGAUAUAGGGAGACUGCGGGUGCCACCGAUAAUAUUUUUGUAGCUGAGAAUUGUUUUUAAACGUGCGCAUGCUCAAUUCCCACCAGUUGUUUGCAGCC